rnacentral:rRNA from 1 species
GACGAACGCUGGCGGCGUGCUUAACACAUGCAAGUCGAACGAAGAGCGAUGGAAGCUUGCUUCUAUCAAUCUUAGUGGCGAACGGGUGAGUAACGCGUAAUCAACCUGCCCUUCAGAGGGGGACAACAGUUGGAAACGACUGCUAAUACCGCAUACGAUCCAAUCUCGGCAUCGGGACUGGAUGAAAGGUGGCCUCUAUUUAUAAGCUAUCACUGAAGGAGGGGAUUGCGUCUGAUUAGCUAGUUGGAGGGGUAACGGCCCACCAAGGCGAUGAUCAGUAGCCGGUCUGAGAGGAUGAACGGCCACAUUGGGACUGAGACACGGCCCAGACGCCUACGGGAGGCAGCAGUGGGGAAUCUUCCGCAAUGGACGAAAGUCUGACGGAGCAACGCCGCGUGAGUGAUGACGGCCUUCGGGUUGUAAAGCUCUGUUAAUCGGGACGAAUGGUUCUUGUGCGAAUAGUGCGAGGAUUUGACGGUACCGGAAUAGAAAGCCACGGCUAACUACGUG